rnacentral:rRNA from 2 species
UAGGACACUCUAUACGGAGUUACAAAGGACGACAUUAGACGAAUCAUCUGGAAAGAUGAAUCAAAGAAGGUAAUAAUCCUGUAGUCGAAAAUGUUGUCUCUCUUGAGUGGAUCCUGAGUACGACGGAGCACGUGAAAUUCCGUCGGAAUCUGGGAGGACCAUCUCCUAAGGCUAAAUACUCUCUAGUGACCGAUAGUGAACCAGUACCGUGAGGGAAAGGUGAAAAGCACCCCGGAAGGGGAGUGAAAUAGAACCUGAAACCGUGUGCUUACAAGUAGUCAGAGCCCGUUAAUGGGUGAUGGCGUGCCUUUUGUAGAAUGAACCGGCGAGUUACGAUUUGAUGCAAGGUUAAGCAGUAAAUGUGGAGCCGUAGCGAAAGCGAGUCUGAAUAGGGCGUUUAGUAUUUGGUCGUAGACCCGAAACCAGGUGAUCUACCCUUGGUCAGGUUGAAGUUCAGGUAACACUGAAUGGAGGACCGAACCGACUUACGUUGAAAAGUGAGCGGAUGAACUGAGGGUAGCGGAGAAAUUCCAAUCGAACCUGGAGAUAGCUGGUUCUCUCCGAAAUAGCUUUAGGGCUAGCCUCAAGUGAUGAUUAUUGGAGGUAGAGCACUGUUUGGACGAGGGGCCCCUCUCGGGUUACCGAAUUCAGACAAACUCCGAAUGCCAAUUAAUUUAACUUGGGAGUCAGAACAUGGGUGAUAAGGUCCGUGUUCGAAAGGGAAACAGCCCAGACCACCAGCUAAGGUCCCAAAAUAUAUGUUAAGUGGAAAAGGAUGUGGCGUUGCCCAGACAACUAGGAUGUUGGCUUAGAAGCAGCCAUCAUUUAAAGAGUGCGUAAUAGCUCACUAGUCGAGUGACACUGCGCCGAAAAUGUACCGGGGCUAAACAUAUUACCGAAGCUGUGGAUUGUCCUUUGGACAAUGGUAGGAGAGCGUUCUAAGGGCGUUGAAGCAUGAUCGUAAGGACAUGUGGAGCGCUUAGAAGUGAGAAUGCCGGUGUGAGUAGCGAAAGACGGGUGAGAAUCCCGUCCACCGAUUGACUAAGGUUUCCAGAGGAAGGCUCGUCCGCUCUGGGUUAGUCGGGUCCUAAGCUGAGGCCGACAGGCGUAGGCGAUGGAUAACAGGUUGAUAUUCCUGUACCACCUAUAAUCGUUUUAAUCGAUGGGGGGACGCAGUAGGAUAGGCGAAGCGUGCGAUUGGAUUGCACGUCUAAGCAGUAAGGCUGAGUAUUAGGCAAAUCCGGUACUCGUUAAGGCUGAGCUGUGAUGGGGAGAAGACAUUGUGUCUUCGAGUCGUUGAUUUCACACUGCCGAGAAAAGCCUCUAGAUAGAAAAUAGGUGCCCGUACCGCAAACCGACACAGGUAGUCAAGAUGAGAAUUCUAAGGUGAGCGAGCGAACUCUCGUUAAGGAACUCGGCAAAAUGACCCCGUAACUUCGGGAGAAGGGGUGCUCUUUAGGGUUAACGCCCAGAAGAGCCGCAGUGAAUAGGCCCAAGCGACUGUUUAUCAAAAACACAGGUCUCUGCUAAACCGUAAGGUGAUGUAUAGGGGCUGACGCCUGCCCGGUGCUGGAAGGUUAAGAGGAGUGGUUAGCUUCUGCGAAGCUACGAAUCGAAGCCCCAGUAAACGGCGGCCGUAACUAUAACGGUCCUAAGGUAGCGAAAUUCCUUGUCGGGUAAGUUCCGACCCGCACGAAAGGCGUAACGAUUUGGGCACUGUCUCAACGAGAGACUCGGUGAAAUCAUAGUACCUGUGAAGAUGCAGGUUACCCGCGACAGGACGGAAAGACCCCGUGGAGCUUUACUGUAGCCUGAUAUUGAAAUUCGGCACAGCUUGUACAGGAUAGGUAGGAGCCUUUGAAACGUGAGCGCUAGCUUACGUGGAGGCGCUGGUGGGAUACUACCCUAGCUGUGUUGGCUUUCUAACCCGCACCACUUAUCGUGGUGGGAGACAGUGUCAGGCGGGCAGUUUGACUGGGGCGGUCGCCUCCUAAAAGGUAACGGAGGCGCUCAAAGGUUCCCUCAGAAUGGUUGGAAAUCAUUCAUAGAGUGUAAAGGCAUAAGGGAGCUUGACUGCGAGACCUACAAGUCGAGCAGGGUCGAAAGACGGACUUAGUGAUCCGGUGGUUCCGCAUGGAAGGGCCAUCGCUCAACGGAUAAAAGCUACCCCGGGGAUAACAGGCUUAUCUCCCCCAAGAGUUCACAUCGACGGGGAGGUUUGGCACCUCGAUGUCGGCUCAUCGCAUCCUGGGGCUGUAGUCGGUCCCAAGGGUUGGGCUGUUCGCCCAUUAAAGCGGUACGCGAGCUGGGUUCAGAACGUCGUGAGACAGUUCGGUCCCUAUCCGUCGUGGGCGUAGGAAAUUUGAGAGGAGCUGUCCUUAGUACGAGAGGACCGGGAUGGACAUACCUCUGGUGUACCAGUUGUCGUGCCAACGGCAUAGCUGGGUAGCUAUGUGUGGACGGGAUAAGUGCUGAAAGCAUCUAAGCAUGAAGCCCCCCUCAAGAUGAGAUUUCCCAACUUCGGUUAUAAGAUCCCUCAAAGAUGAUGAGGUUAAUAGGUUCGAGGUGGAAGCAUGGUGACAUGUGGAGCUGACGAAUACUAAUCGAUCGAAGACUUAAUCAA